GAUGUGGACUUCUGUGACCAACAGCACGUUCACCAAGAUACUACGCGUUUCUGUUGUGAGAGGCUGCUGUGGGAUGACUCUGCUGCUAUGAGCUGAAAUUACGGGAAAUAAGUUUGCUUUAAGAAAAUCAAAUUUUAAGUCAUUGCUGACAAUCUGAGAAGAAAUACAGGAAAUCGCCUCAAAGAAUAAAUGUGUUUCUGGGCCAGCGUGCUUGGCUGGACUCUGGAUGAUGAGUAACUAUCUAGAGAAAGAAUGCACCAUGAGAAGUGGAGUUUGGCUCAGUGAUGAACAAGGCGACCAGACUCAGUAAACGUUUGUGAGGACCUACUAAGUGCCAGCAGUCAGCUCACAUUCCAACUGCGGAGACAGAAAAUCAGUAAAUGUGGGCUAUCACAGAUGGGUGUCCAGUGCUGUGGUUUUCGGUAAGAGAUCUGGAAAGCAGGACUGGACCGAAGGCCCAAACUUGUGUCUCCAGCCCUUACUGCUCUUUGGCUAAAUGAAGCAGAUGACUACGUGGAGGGAAUAAUUUGCAAGACAUUCAUCACUGACCGUCAGGGCAGUCAGGUGGCCAAUUCAAAUGGACACUUACUUUUAGAGGCUACAUUUCCUGAUGAGGCAAAUAUCAGCCCUGCCCCGUUUUCUGAGGAGCUCCGAGGAGGGAAACAUGCAUAAGAUCGUGUGGAGACAGAGAAAGGCUGCUGUGCAUGGUGAGAGGGGAGUCAUUCCAACUCACAGGAACUAACCAGUUCCAUGGAAAAGGCACAGAUGAAAAGAGCAAGAAGAGAAAGAAGGAAGCCAAGAAGUGGGAGGAAAUGGUCACAGACAGCAGAGCAGAAGCCAGGGAAGAGAAGGAUGAAAAAUAAACAGAGUAGCAGGGACUGGGGAUGGGGAACAACAGACCAGAAACACAAGCAAGACUAGCAGAGGAGGGUGAGUAAGGAAGAGACUUUAGAAAGUCAGACAAGUAGAGAAGGAAAAAAGAAUAAAGACAAAUGUAGAAAAAUAAGGCAUCAAAAGAUGCAAGAGAUGAAACAUACCAAGAAGCAGUGUUUAAGCCUGAUCAUUGGCCCUCACCAAUAUGUAAUGCAGGGGUCCUUUCCUGUAAAGUGCCAGAUAAUAAAUAUUAUAAGCUUGCUGGGUGGUACUACCUUUGUUCAACUGCUAAACUCUGGUGUUGCAACAUGAAAAAAGACAUGGACAAUAAGGAAACAAGUGAGUGCAGCUGUGUUCCAACAAAGCCACAAAACAGAUGGCCAGCCAGUCGUGACUUGCCAGAGAUGGCUCAUGGGUCAAAGAUUUUUGACUCAUAUGAACAGAAGCCGCUGCAGACAAGUGCAUUUCUUACAUUUCUGCCACCUCCACAGCACCUAUCAUAGGCAGAAACUUUCAAUGAUUUUUUUAAGCUUUUGAUGUACCAAAUGACAACUUACUAUUAUUUCACCUUCCUGGUGCAACACUGACCAUCCAAUCCCCAGUGGAGAAGCCACAAACAGAAGGAAGAAUGGAAUAUUCCAUCCCAAAAUAGAUUGCGUCUACAGAAAAGUAGAUAUUAUCAGAGCAUCCCAGGCCAGCAUGGACAAAGAUGGAUACUUACUGUCUUAACUUGGUUUGCCACGACAAAAUACCAUAUACUGAUGACCUAAAACAACAGAGAUUUAGUUUCUUACAAUUCUUGUUUUAGUCCAUUCUAGUUGCCAUAAUAAAAUAUAGAGAUUGAGUACUUUAGAAACCCCAGAAUUUUGUUGCUCAUAGUUCUAGAGGUUGAGUACAAAAUCAAAAAUGCAGCAAAUUGGGUGUCUGGUGAGGCACCCAAGCCUCAUAAAUGGUUCUCCCUACGUGUCUGCAUGGUGGAACUUCUGCAAGCCACUUUCAUAAGGCCACUAAUCCCAUUCAUGAGGACGAAGGCAUCGUGACCUAACCACCUCCCAUCAUUUUGGUGGCCAGGUUUCAACAUACAGAUUUUCAAACAUCCAAACCACUGCAAUCCAGGACACUCGAAGUUCAAGAUUAGGGUGUCAGCAUAAUCGGCUUGUGAGAAGGGUCCUCUUCCUGGAUUACAGACAGCUGUCUUCUCAUUAAUAACUCAUAAGACCUUUUUCAACUGCUCUGCCCUCUUAUGAGGACACUAAUCCCAGUAUAAGGGCCCCAUCUUCAUGACCUCAUCUAACACCAAUACCUCUCAAAGACCCCAUCUUCAAAUACCAUCACACUGGGAUUAGGGCUUCAACAUAAAUUUAAGGGUGAGUAAUAAACCACUUACUCUAUGAGGAAGGAAUUCUAAUUAAUGUUCAACUUAAAAUAUUAUUUUCUGUUUUCUGAGAAGGAAGAAGCUGUUAUAAUAGUCACUUGGGCUCCCUCUCCCAGAAGGAUAUUAUAACAAUCUAUGCAGCUGAUUCAGAGCUUUACAUUUAGUACUUUCUGUUAAAGAUUUCAGAUUGAGAGACAGUUCUCCAGCCAAUACAGGCAAUAACUCCAUAUAAUUUAUAUCUGGAACUGAGCACUACUCCAGAGAUCAGAAUCCAAUCAGAUCUUGUCUUUAUAAUUCAUAUCCAUCCCUAUUUCAACUUUGGCUCCUCGAAUUCUCCUGGCUUGAAUGCCCAGCUGAUUUUCCCUACAACCACCAAGGGUUCCUGCUACAGUCUGGAUGGUACCUGGCACCAUGGCCAUCUUCUCCAGUUUGUCUGUCUCCUGGUUUAACUGUCCUUCAGGCAGAAGUGAUUUUGGAAGCCUUUCUCAGGUCCUUCAUCGGAUUAACACAAGCUGCCUCAUAAUCAAUAGAGUGAAGAAGAGGCCCCAAGAGACACCAUUUUGAGGCCACAUGAGGAGAGACACGCACAGUUCCCUGUUAAUAAAGCCUGAAUGAUGUCAACAUUCCACGAAGGAGAAGCUAAAUGGGCCUAGCGUGAUCUACAGUUCCACGCCCUGUGAUGAGCACGCAGCCCUCACAGGAAGGGGACUCUCCUGUGCUGCUCUCCAAGUGAAUAAAGCAUGGAAACCCUUUCACAGACACUUUGCCUCUACAGGAAAAAAGUUCAGUUUGUACUUGGAAGCAAAUAAGCUUAUGGGUGUGUGGGCACGGGCAUAUCUGCUUUAAAACAUUUGUCAGUAACUGCUGACAACAGCAGCCCCCCUGCCAGAUCCAGUUUCUCCCCAUUUUGAAAUGACCUUUUUGCUCCCCAGAGUACCAGCUGGUGUGCUUCACAGGAUCAUCUCUGUCCUCGCUGGCCCGGCCUCCCCAGGGCUCUGAAAUCUGCACUUUCUGACCCUCCCUCCUUGGCGGCUUCUUCCAGGCCUCUCUACUCUUGUCACGCAAAGUUACUCAGCAGAACACACCAGAGCCAAAGGGCUCUGCACUGCCACCGUGGGGCCAAGAAGGGAAGGUGCUCCAAGCUUACAUUCCCAGCCGUGCACACGCCUCAGUGAACACCCCCCUUCACCUGGUCCUUGUGCCCCUACAUAGCAAAGCAGAGUCCAUGACAAAGACUGCACGAGGUGAAAGAACACUGUUGUGCUCCAUCUUUCCGGGCUGCUUAGAGCUCAGGCUUAAAUCUAUCAAACUAGCUCUUUCAUCUUUUCUCUGCUUGGUCAUUACUGUUCUUUUCUGCUGGAGACCUCAAUGGAUAUUGCCAGGUGAAACAAGCUUUGCUUAAGACAGGUUGGAUUAAGUCAGUUCCCUAGCCUGUGCUUCUGAUUGUGUAAAACAGUGAUAUUACUGUCUUACUGUCUAUAUCCCUAAGGCUGUUAUGGGGAAUAAAUGGAGAAAUGCAUGUAAAAUC